AGUUAAUACUAAAUAUUAAAAAAUUAUUCCAAAUAAUUUGCUAAAAGAUACCUUUGCGUAAGAUUAGGUAGUUGGUAGUUUAAUAGACUACCAAGCCUAUGAUCUUUAGUUGGUCUGAGAGGAUGAUCAACCACACUGGAACUGAGACAAGGUCCAGGCUAAUUUUUUAGCCAGCAGUGAGGAAUAUUGGACAAUGAACGAAAGUUUGAUCCAGCAAUACUAUGUGAAUGAUGACGGCUAUUUUGGUUGUAAAGUUCUUUCGUUUAAGAUGAUAAUGACAUUAUUAAAAGAAGUUUUAGUCCCGGCUAAUCUCGUGCCAGCAGCCGCGGUAAUACGGGAGGGGCAAGCGUUAUCUGGAAUAACUGGGCGUAAAGGGUCCGUAGACUGUAUUGUAAGUUAUUUGUUAAAACCUAAAGCUUAACUUUAGAAAAGCAUUUAAUACUACUAUACUUGAGUUUCUUGCAGAAGAGUAGAAUUUCAUGUCGAGGAGUAACGACUGCAGACACAUGAAGGAAUAUCAGUAGCGAAGGCGACUCUUUAGUAAAAACUGACGUUGAGGGACGAAAGUGUAGGUAGCAAACAGGAUUAGAUACCCUGGUAGUCUACACUGUAAAUUCUGAGUGCUGUAAUUUAACAUAAAUUAUGUUGGAUUUUUUAAGCUAACGCCAUAAGCACUCCGCCUGAGGAGUACGAUCGCAAGAUUGGAACUCAAAGGAAUUGACGGGGGCCUACAACAAGUGGUGGAGCAUGUGGUUUAAUGCGAUAAUCCGCGCAAAACCUUACCAACCCUUGACAUAAAAAUAAUUUUUCAAAUUUGUUUAUUCAAACACAUGUUUGAAAAUUGAAUUUUUACAGGUGUUGCACGACUGUCGUCAGCUCGUGUCGUAAGAUGUUUGGUUCAUUCCUUUAACGAGCGCAACUCUUGUCUUUAUUAUGUUUUAGACUUUCGAAAACUUAAAACAAAAAGUUUUUCAAAGCUUUAAAAGAGACUAUCAAUGAUAAAUUGAAGGAAGGUGAGAAUCAAGUCAAGUCCCUGUGGCCCUUAUGGGUUGGGCUACACACGUGCUACAAUGAAAAUUACAGAGAGUUACAAAAAUACAAUUUAAGUUAAUCUUUAAAAGUUUUCUUAGUUCGGAUUACAAGCUGCAACUCGCUUGUAUGAAGUUGGAAUCACUAGUAAUCGCAAAUCAGCACGUUGCGGUGAAUAUGUAUCUUGGCCUUGUACACACCGCCCGUCACAUGCAGAGAGUUAAUUUUACUUGAAGUUUUUAACGCAAUAUUAAAAUCUAGAUUUUUGAUUUGUAGAAAACCAUUGAGAAAUUAAUAAUUUGGAUGAAGUCGUAACAAGGUAGCUGUACGGGAACGUGUAGCUGGAACA
rnacentral:rRNA from 1 species